CUACGUGCCAGCAGCCGCGGUAAUACGGAAGGUUCGGGCGUUAUCCGGAUUUAUUGGGUUUAAAGGGAGCGUAGGCCGGAGAUUAAGUGUGUUGUGAAAUGUAGACGCUCAACGUCUGACUUGCAGCGCAUACUGGUUUCCUUGAGUACGCACAACGUUGGCGGAAUUCGUCGUGUAGCGGUGAAAUGCUUAGAUAUGACGAAGAACUCCGAUUGCGAAGGCAGCUGACGGGAGCGCCACUGACGCUUAAGCUCGAAGGUGCGGGUAUCGAACAGGAUUAGAUACCCUGGUAGUCCGCACAGUAAACGAUGGAUGCCCGCUGUUGGUACCUGGUAUCAGCGGCUAAGCGAAAGCAUUAAGCAUCCCACCUGGGGAGUACGCCGGCAACGGUGAAACUCAAAGGAAUUGACGGGGGCCCGCACAAGCGGUGGAGCAUGUGGUUUAAUUCGAUGCAACGCGAAGAACCUUACC
rnacentral:rRNA from 1 species